rnacentral:rRNA from 1 species
CACGUAGGCACCAAGCGUUGUCCGGAUUUAUUGGGCGUAAAGAGCUCGUAGGCGGUUCGGUAAGUCGGGUGUGAAAACUCUGGGCUCAACCCAGAGCCGCCACCCGAUACUGCUGUGACUUGAGUUCGGUAGGGGAGCGGGGAAGUUCCUGGUGUAGCGGUGAAAUGCGUAGAGAUCAUGAGGAAGACCAGUGGCGAAGGCGGGUCUCUGGACAGUUCCUGACACUGAGACACGAAGGCCAGGGGAGGCAAACGGGG